rnacentral:rRNA from 1 species
AGUGAACGCUGGCGGUAGGCCUAACACAUGCCAGUCGAACGGCAGCACAGUAAGAGCUUGCUCUUACGGGUGGCGAGUGGCGGACGGGUGAGGAAUACAUCGGAAUCUACUUUUUCGUGGGGGAUAACGUAGGGAAACUUACGCUAAUACCGCAUACGACCUACGGGUGAAAGCAGGGGAUCUUCGGACCUUGCGCGAUUGAAUGAGCCGAUGUCGGAUUAGCUAGUUGGCGGGGUAAAGGCCCACCAAGGCGACGAUCCGUAGCUGGUCUGAGAGGAUGAUCAGCCACACUGGAACGGAGACACGGUCCAGACUCCUACGGGAGGCAGCAGUGGGGAAUAUUGGUCAAUGGGCGCAAGCCUGAUCCAGCCAUACCGCGUGGGUGAAGAAGGCCUUCGGGUUGUAAAGCCCUUUUGUUGGGAAAGAAAAGCAGCAGGUUAAUACCCCGCUGUUCUGACGGUACCCAAAGAAUAAGCACCGGCUAACUUCGUG